CCGGCGCCUGGGCGGCGGCGGUCACGGCCCGCGGGGCCGCGGCGUGCGCACCCGCGCACGCCGCGGUCGCCACGAGGGCGACGGG
rnacentral:tRNA from 1 species